rnacentral:rRNA from 1 species
UACGUAGGGUGCGAGCGUUAAUCGGAAUUACUGGGCGUAAAGCGUGCGCAGGCGGUUCGUUGUGUCGGCGGUGAAAGCCCCGGGCUCAACCUGGGAAUGGCCGUUGAAACUGGCGAACUGGAGUGUGGCAGAGGGGGGUGGAAUUCCGCGUGUAGCAGUGAAAUGCGUAGAGAUGCGGAGGAACACCGAUGGCGAAGGCAGCCCCCUGGGCUAACACUGACGCUCAGGCACGAAAGCGUGGGGAGCAGACAGG